rnacentral:rRNA from 1 species
AAUAGAUACCCUGGUAGUCCACGCCGUAAACGAUGAGUGCUAAGUGUUAGGGGGUUUCCGCCCCUUAGUGCUGCAGCUAACGCAUUAAGCACUCCGCCUGAGGAGUACGGUCGCAAGACUGAAACUCAAAGGAAUUGACGGGGGCCCGCACAGGCGGUGGAGCAUGUGGUUUAAUUCGAAGCAACGCGAAGAACCUUACCAGGUCUUGACAUCCCAUUGACCGCUAUGGAGACAUAGUUUUCCCUUCGGGGACAGUGGUGACAGGUGGUGCAUGGUUGUCGUCAGCUCGUGUCGUGAGAUGUUGGGUUAAGUCCCGCAACGAGCGCAACCCUUGUUCUUAGUUGCCAUCAUUUAGUUGGGCACUCUAAGGAGACUGCCGGUGACAAACCGGAGGAAGGUGGGGAUGACGUCAAAUCGAUCAUGCCCCUUAUGACCUGGGCUACACACGUGCUACAAUGGACGGUACAAACGGUUGCCAACCCGCGAGGGGGAGCUAAUCCGAUAAAACCGUUCUCAGUUCGGAUUGUAGGCUGCAACUCGCCUAC